rnacentral:rRNA from 1 species
CCUACGGGGGGCUGCAGUGAGGAAUAUUGGUCAAUGGACGAGAGUCUGAACCAGCCAAGUAGCGUGAAGGAUGACUGCCCUAUGGGUUGUAAACUUCUUUUAUAUGGGAAUAAAACGUUCCACGUGUGGGAUUUUGUAUGUACCAUAUGAAUAAGGAUCGGCUAACUCCGUGCCAGCAGCCGCGGUAAUACGGAGGAUCCGAGCGUUAUCCGGAUUUAUUGGGUUUAAAGGGAGCGUAGGUGGAUUGUUAAGUCAGUUGUGAAAGUUUGCGGCUCAACCGUAAAAUUGCAGUUGAAACUGGCAGUCUUGAGUACAGUAGAGGUGGGCGGAAUUCGUGGUGUAGCGGUGAAAUGCUUAGAUAUCACGCAGAACUCCGAUUGCGAAGGCAGUUCACUGGACUGCAACUGACACUGAGGCUCGAAAGUGUGGGUAUCAAACAGGAUUAGAUACCCUAGUAGUC